rnacentral:lncRNA from 1 species
GAUCCACAUUUAAUAGUCUGUUAACAUGGAACAGACAUUUGGCCUAGCAGGUAAUUUACUAAUGAAGAUACCCAUAUCCCACAUUGGAGUAUCUUGGUUUGGUCCUUGGGUUCAGCUCCUGAUUCCAGCUUCCUGCUAAUGCAGAUCUUAAGAGGCAGCAGUGACAGCUCAAGUAGCUACAUUCCUGCCUGUGUCUUCUGGCCUUGAAAUAUCUAGAUUAUGUUCCUGGCUCACUGCUUCUCCUCUGGCUGUUGUGGGCAUCUGGGCAGUGAACCAGUAGAUGGGAUCUCUUUUCCCCACUCACUCUGUCUUUGCAUCUCUAAUCUCUUUUUAUCUUGAUCUACAUAUUUUUUUUAGCUAACUGUCUUUUUUGUUUUGACAGUUAUAGACAGUGAGAGAGAGACAGAGACAGAGACAGAGACAGAAAGAAAGGUCUUCCUUCCAUUGGUUCAGUCCCCAAAUGGCCACCAUGGCCCACGCUAAGCCAAUCCGAAGCCAGGAGCCAGGUGCCUCCUCCUGGUCUCCCAUGCGGGUGCAGGAGCCCAAGCACUUGGGCCACCCUCCACUGCAUUCCUGGGCCACAGCAGAGAGCUGGACUGGAAGAGGAGCAACCAGGACUAGCACCUGGCUCCCAUAUGGGAUGCCGGCGCCAUAGGCGGAGGAUUAACCAAGUGAGCCACAGCGCCAGCCCCAGUUAACUGUCUUACAUAUUUUCUAUCUGCUGAAUCACAUAUCUUCCUCUUACCAUCCAAGAACAGAGCCUCUCUGAGUCAAUCUCUGCCUGUAGCAAUGUCGUGUUUUCCUCCGGUGGUUAAGAGGAGAAGAUGAGUGGCAGUAUAGGCUUGUGGAAGUCUCAUUUUCUUGUUUGUGAGUUAAACUAUAUCCUUAUGUUUGAAACACACCUGAGUGAAAAAUGUGCUGAGCUGUGGUCUGCCCAACAACUCCAGACUCCGGCUUCCCAUCAAUGCAGACUCUGGGAAACUACAGUGAUGGCUCAAGUAAUUGGGUUCCUGCUACCUAUGUAGAAGAUGUGGAUUGAGUUCCCAGCUGCUGGUGUCAGCCCAGCUCUGCCCAUCCCUACCUGUUGUGAACAUAUGGGGAGUCAGCUAGUGGAAGCAGCUCUCAGUCUGUCUCAGAUAAGUAAGUAAAUAAAAAACAAUAAAAGCAAAACA